rnacentral:lncRNA from 1 species
GAUUAUGAUACAACGUAACAAUAUGCCCAAAAGGAAAAUAUACGUUAGCAGAGAGAUGUGGGUCAAGAGGGUGUAACAAACUUCUCAAAAGUGGAUGGAUUGAGGAGAUCCAGCAGGAAACUGUUGGAGUCCAAAUGGAAAAAAGACUACGUUAAUAUAAGGGUUGGGGAGCAAGAGAGAGAGCACGCAAUACGUGAGUCCCCUUCCUUUUGCCUUUCUGAUAUAUUCCUCUAUUUCUGAAUUGCUUAACAUUCUUCACAGGUGAUUGAGAUUAUGAUCAAUGAGAACCCUCAUACUUGCACGGCAACAUAGAGUAGGAAUCACUUGUUUGUUUCCUUAGGAACCUUUGACACUUACCAAUAGACAUGGGUGGACGUUUAGUUCACUGUAAUAAACUUUUCCAGUUUUGUUAUUGAUUCCUUGUUUUCCAUUGGUGUUGGUUCUGGAUUGUUUGACUCUCUCUCUUCAUGGGAUCUCUUCAUGGAUCAUUUAUAGGAUGUGACUGUUGAAAUAUAAAGUAAUUAAAGAAACUUACUAAAUCAAAAGCUUGUAUUAUUUUUGUGAUGAUAAAAUGAUAUGCAUGUAUUUACACACGGAUCUGAUAAAGCUUGGAAUUUUGUAUAAAAGGAAAAACCAAGCUGGAGGGAUAAUAGUGAUUGAGUUGUUGCAUGAAUUUAACCUAUGAAGUUGUGAAGUCGAAAAAGUGGGAAGAGAUUGAAGAAGUCAACGGGAUCCAAACAUGUGAUCAAGGAGGAUGAGAAAGGCCAUGGCGAG